AGACUGCUCCGGGGAAGAAUUCUUCCCCUUCCUUCUACUGGCUAUCCUUUUUCUAAUACAAUGAACAGCAUCUAAGCCAGGUUUCUGCCCCAUAUUUUGAGGCCCUGGAUGAACCAAGCCUGGAUAGCUGAGAAACAAACUCAGGUCCUAAGGCAGUCAUGUCCACCUUGCUGGCUUUCACAUCUCUAUACUUAAUCCUGGAGGAAACAGAAGAACACCUGUUUGAGCCAGAAUUCUUGUCAGGAGGACUUCUGGAUAGGAGGAGUAAAUGUAUAAAGAGAUGGUCCAAAGUUUCAAGCUAGGAUCCCUUUCCUAUUUGCUUUAAACUUUAUAGAAAACUCCCC
rnacentral:lncRNA from 1 species